CACGUAGGGGGCGAGCGUUGUCCGGAUUUAUUGGGCGUAAAGAGCGUGUAGGCGGUUUGGUAGGUCCGCUGUGAAAACUCGAGGCUCAACCUCGAGACGCCGGUGGAAACCAUCAGGCUAGAGUCCGGAAGAGGAGAGUGGAAUUCCUGGUGUAGCGGUGAAAUGCGCAGAUAUCAGGAAGAACACCCGUGGCUAAGGCGGCUCUCUAGUACGGUACUGACGCUGAGACGCGAAAGCGUGGGGAGCGAACAGG
rnacentral:rRNA from 1 species